UACAGAGGGCUCAAGCGUUGUUCGGAUUCAUUGGGCGUAAAGGGUGCGUAGGCGGCGCGGUAAGUCGGGUGUGAAAUCUCGGGGCUUAACUCCGAAACUGCAUUCGAUACUACCGUGCUUGAGGACUGGAGAGGAGACUGGAAUUUACGGUGUAGCGGUGAAAUGCGUAGAUAUCGUAAGGAAGACCAGUGGCGAAGGCGGGUCUCUGGACAGUUCCUGACGCUGAGGCACGAAGGCCAGGGGAGCAAACGGG
rnacentral:rRNA from 1 species